UAAUUGAAGAGUUUGAUCAUGGCUCAGAUUGAACGCUGGCGGCAGGCCUAACACAUGCAAGUCGG
rnacentral:rRNA from 1 species